rnacentral:snRNA from 10 species
AUACCUUCUCGGCCUCUUGGCUAAGAUCAAUUUGUAGUACCUGUUCUUAUCAGCGUGAUAGCUGAUACGGGUCCAACUGGACUCUGUAUUAUCACGGUUAUUUUUCGUUGGGUUAAGAGAUUUUCCGAGCUUGCUCGUCAUUCUCUUAUCGCGUUGCCUUCCCCUUACACUCCCGGGUUGAGCGGUGCACCCACA